rnacentral:rRNA from 1 species
GACGAACGCUGGCGGCGUGCUUAACACAUGCAAGUCGAACGGUAAGGCCCUUCGGGGUACACGAGUGGCGAACGGGUGAGUAACACGUGGGUGAUCUGCCCUGCACUUUGGGAUAAGCCUGGGAAACUGGGUCUAAUACCGGAUAGGACCACUGCCUGCAUGGGUGGUGGUGGAAAGCUUUUGCGGUGUGGGAUGGGCCCGCGGCCUAUCAGCUUGUUGGUGGGGUGAUGGCCUACCAAGGCGACGACGGGUAGCCGGCCUGAGCGGGUGACCGGCCACGCUGGGACUGAGAUACGGCCCGGACUCCUAUGGGAGGCAGGAGUGGGGAAUAUUGCACAAUGGGCGCAAGCCUGAUGCAGCGACGCCGCGUGAGGGAUGACGGCCUUCGGGUUGUAAACCUCUUUCAGCACCGACGAAGCGCAAGUGACGGUAGGUGCAGAAGAAGGACCGGCCAACUACGUGCCAGCCGCCGCCGUAA